UGGGGAAUUUUGGACAAUGGGGGAAACCCUGAUCCAGCCAUCCCGCGUGUGCGAUGAAGGCCUUCGGGUUGUAAAGCACUUUUGGCAGGAAAGAAACGUCGCGGGUUAAUACCCCGCGGAACUGACGGUACCUGCAGAAUAAGCACCGGCUAACUACGUGCCAGCAGCCGCGGUAAUACGUAGGGUGCAAGCGUUAAUCGGAAUUACUGGGCGUAAAGCGUGCGCAGGCGGUUCGGAAAGAAAGAUGUGAAAUCCCAGAGCUUAACUUUGGAACUGCAUUUUUAACUACCGGGCUAGAGUGUGUCAGAGGGAGGUGGAAUUCCGCGUGUAGCAGUGAAAUGCGUAGAUAUGCGGAGGAACACCGAUGGCGAAGGCAGCCUCCUGGGAUAACACUGGACGCUCAUGCACGAAAGCGUGGGGAGCAAACAGGAUUAGAUACCCUGGUAGUCCACGCCCUAAACGAUGUCAACUAGCUGUUGGGGUCUUCGGACCUUGGUAGCGCAGCUAACGCGUGAAGUUGACCGCCUGGGGAGUACGGUCGCAAGAUUAAAACUCAAAUGAAUUGAC
rnacentral:rRNA from 1 species